AUGAGACCAGAAUCUCGAGAGAAAGACAGGUGGAGGAGAGAAAAGCAAGGAGGGAUGACGGUCAUCAGGUGUCUGGUAAGAACAGAACUGGUUCCCAAUAACAAAGGAAAAGAUUUUAUAGGAACUCUCUACUUUUGGACACCAGGGAGAAAACAUGUUCUCAUCAGACACAGGAUUGUAGACAGCGCGAUCCCAUAUGUAAACUGUCAACUUUGGUGAGUAAUAAUGCAUCAAUACUUCUUCAAUUGCUUAACAAAGAGACAAAUCAGACAUGCAAUCAUCAUAUUGUAACAUAAAAUGGGAAUGAAAAGGACACAGCAGUAGCUUGGAGCUGAAAAUGAAUAAGUGAGUAAACCAAAAGCCAAUACCAAAGGAGUGGAAAACAGAAUGGUCCUGCUAAUUUCCACAAGAAUGCAGGAAUCUAGAAGAUAUCAUAAAAUCCCUUCAAAAGGUUGAGGGAAGGUACUGGACUCCUGAUGAUAAUGGUAGUCACUUCCAUCUCAAUAUGUCUACAUAUUUCUUUCUCUCCCUCAACCUAUAAAGUACAACAAGAAGACUAGACAUAACUAUCCAUAUUUCCAUGUCUAGGGACAUACAAAAUCUCAAACUUUGAGAGUCAGCUCCAGAACUACAGGUAAGACUGUAAUAGACUGUUCAGGGAAACAGGUUGAGCAGCAGUAUUUUACUGUUACUGAAACAUUGAAAACACCACAUCCACCAUCACAAAUGCCAAAAAAGAGUCCAUUCCAUGGUGUAAAAUAGUGAGAAUAGGUCUGAGGGCCUUUAAAGGAGACAUUCCUCAAGUGGGGAAUUAAAGGAAGAGUUGAAAGAGCAGGAAAAGAAACUUGAAAGCAAACUUGAGAAGCUGUUGCUUUUGUGUCAUGAAACACCAUGACAAAAUGGGUGUUAGGAGCACAUGGUUGGUGCUGUCAAUUAAGCUAUCAAUCUUGAUGUGUCAGCUGAACUCUGCUCUCCGUGUCCUGAGAUGGAACCCUGAGUCGGUCUCUGCACUCAGCAGAAGGUCAGCUUGAGAUUCUCUCUUUCCCUCCCUCUCUAUUCCACCCCUCCUUGUGCACUCCUUCUCUCUCUCUCUCUCUCUCUCUCAUAUAUAUAUAUAUAUAUAUAUAUAUAUAUAUAUAUAUAUAUAUAUAUAUAAAGAGAGGGGACACUCUAGUAAACCCUCUUAGUCUUCUAUCAUUCCCUCACCCUUCUAUAUGUGCAUGUGUUGGGCAUUCCAGGGAAACCAUGAGAUAUUUCAAUUGAAGAGUUCCUACAGAAAACAUAUAAUUAUAAUAAAAAUGUUUCUGCUGAUAGAGAUUCUGUCUCACCUCCCUGAAAAUGCACACACACAAUAACACACACAUGGGUUCUAGAGAAACUUCAAUGUAUCUCUCCAAUCUAUCUUUCUUGGGAAUAAUUUGUAUUCCUCAGAUAUGGGAAAUAAAACAGGAAUGGAAAGAAUAGAAAUAGAUAAGAAAUGUAUCAUAUUAUUUAAACUCUGAAGUCAGAAGAGAAAGAUGCACAAUCAUUUCAAAAAUAUAUUUACUGUCUUUUUAUUGUUAUCUGCUAUGUAACAAACCACCCAAAACCUUUGUGCUUCAAACAACAGUGAUAUAACAUUUCUAAAAAUUCUGUGGGUCAACAAUCCAAGUAGGGCUUGUCUGUAUGGUUCUAUUUCAAAGAGGAAAUGGUCUCACUGAGACCUCACUGGUCACUCAGUAGGCAGCAUCUGGCUGGGAACUCAGUUGAUUUGAAAGGUCCACAGAGUUCAUUGUCAUAUUUGGUGCCUUUUCUGAAGGUCUCAUCCACUUAGUCAUACUCUCCCCAAGGAGAGCUUCUUCUUAUUCUUGUGUGGUCCUAUUCCUAACAUGGGUGGCUGGCAUUGAAUUAGAAACAAGGCCGAAGUUGCCAGACCUACUACUUUGGCUCAAUAUCUGAGAACAUCACCGUCAUUUCUGCAGUAUUAUUUGGUCAAAACACCUAUCAGCCCAGUUUCAAGAGGAGGAGACAUCAGCACCCUUAUGGAUGAUAGUAGAGGCAGGCAUCCAUUGAGAAGGGAGGGAUUACAGUCUGUUUCACAGAUUACUUUGCACAGUCUCAAAACAGAUUGGUGAAAAUAUUGUAACAGGAAUUGAAAAAGAAUAAUAAACAGGAGAGAAAUCAUUAUGUAAAGGCCAGUGAUAUGUGGAGAAAAGACAAAAUGUACAAAAGGAUUCUCUGAAAAGUAAAAAAAAAAAAAAAUAGAAGAAAAAAAAAGAGCAAAACCAAACAAUAAAGCAAAGCUGAAACUAAGAUUAUAGUUAUAAACUUUGCAGAAAACCCAGACAAUCCCAAUGCAUUUAGAGAAUGGUUACUAGGAAUGAGAAAGUUGAAAAAGAAACAGAAACAGAAGAAGAAAACCUCAUGCAGAGAACAUAAAUAUCCAAAUAAAAAUAUCUAUAGGGGCUAAUGGCGUUUCUGGAUCCAUCUGAUGCUAAUUCUACCAUAUGACCAAUGGAAGAGAGAGAAGGCCAAGGAGUCUUAAAUUUUUGAGGUAAAUAAAUGACAAUAUCAAGGUUUUAGAGACCCUUUAAGAAACAAACAAUGCUUUCAUAUGUGGCAUUGACACUCAGCAUUUGCUGAUGCCUCCAAGGGAACAAGACAUGACUACACUAGCAGGAGUUUCUGCCUCUCAAUGGAGACCUGGAUGUUUAACGGCAAGUGUGUGCUGAUCUCGGUGUGUUAGAGUACUGGGCAGAGGGAAACCUGCACAUGUGGCCUGUGGAGAGAAUGUGGGGGCGCUUCUCCCCUAAGCCAGGUCUGGGCCCUCUCCUUCCAUGAAUCAGUAAAGUUCAGUCCUCUGGGGACUGAAGAUCUUGGGCCUGAGAGGUCCCUAAAGGAGGUAUAAAUAGCUAUACAUUUCCUCUUUGUGUCUGUGUGUUUUGAAAAGAUUUUAUGUAUCCACUUAAAGGAGAGAGAGAGAGAAAGAGAGAGAGAGAGAACAAGCAGGGAGAGGAUCACAGGGAGAAGGACAAGCCAGAUUCUGCACACAGCGCUGAGCCUGACAUGGUGCUCCAUCCCAUGAUGCUGAGAUCAUGGCCUGAGUGAAAAUCAAGAGUAAGAGACUCAAUGGAUUGAUCCACCCCCAGGUGCCCCAUCCUAUUUUUGCUUUGAACAUCAUCUGCCUUUUACUUUUUCCAUCUCAACGAGUUAAAUAUCUCCAGGGUCCUAGAAAAGAUAGGUAAGUAAGCUGACUUUUGCUCAGCAAAGAUGUAGAAAAAGACAUCAGGGAAAAAAAGGAAAGGGAAGGAAAGGAAGAAAAUCUUAGGAAACCGAAGGAGCUACUCAGUCUUCCUAGAACUUGAUCAUCCCACAUUUCUCUCAGCCCUGACCCCUGAGGUGCGGUGUGUGGCUGUGAUUGGACGCAGGGGCGAUUGUAGUGGCUCUUUGGGCUCUUUAACGAAAUGAGUCAUCUGCAAAGAGCACAAAUAUUUUUUCAUUUAAGAAUAUAUUUAUGCAGUGGUUGUUUUUCUUUACUACGUGUCUCUGAAUGUUGGGCAUAGGGGCAAUGAAUUUCUAUUCCAGAUCCAGUAAUAAGAAUAAGGCUCAGGAGUUACACAAGUCUAGUAGUUAAAGACCUUGUAUAGGUGUGUAUACAUCAAUCCUUGCAUGCAUUUUUCCUUAGAUUUCCUUGAUAUUCACCAUAUAGCAGGUGCUGGGCUCAACACAGAAGAAGAAGCUGAAGCGUAGAGAUUUGGACUCCUCUCUCUAUGUGACAGAGUUGCUACCCUGGUGAUUGGGCAAAAAUAAGACUCCAUUUCUAAGCCCACUGAAUUCAGCAUGCUGAACUGCCUGCAUUUUAUAAAAUGAAGAAGACAGAUUUGGGGUGAAAAUUACAGUUGAUAUCAUGAGUCUAGUGUGAGAAAGUGAUUUUACAGUUUAGAAUAUAUAACCCUCAAAUGAUCAUCCCAUUAGACCUUUCCUUAAGGUGGUACAUAAUUCUUGAAAGAUGUUACACUAAAAUGCUUGAGAUGCAUAAGUCUCUGGAUCUCCUUUGAUUACAUAAGCUAAUUGUCUAAACAUUUAGCAUACAGGUUAAAUUAAUUGUUGGAAAUUUAUUUUAAAAGGCAUUGCAGGGUUUCAGAGAGUGAGAGAAAAGAUACAUUUGGCAGUAUGCUUGUUCCAGA
rnacentral:lncRNA from 1 species